UAUGUGUGUAUGCGUGUGG
rnacentral:misc_RNA from 1 species